UCGUCCCACCACCCGCGGUAAUACGUAGGGCGCAAGCGUUAUCCGGAAUUAUUGGGCGUAAAGAGCUCGUAGGCGGUUUGUCGCGUCUGCUGUGAAAUCCGGAGGCUCAACCUCCGGCCUGCAGUGGGUACGGGCAGACUAGAGUGCGGUAGGGGAGAUUGGAAUUCCUGGUGUAGCGGUGGAAUGCGCAGAUAUCAGGAGGAACACCGAUGGCGAAGGCAGAUCUCUGGGCCGUAACUGACGCUGAGGAGCGAAAGGGUGGGGAGCAAACAGGCUUAGAUACCCUGGUAGUCCACCCCGUAAACGUUGGGAACUAGUUGUGGGGUCCAUUCCACGGAUUCCGUGACGCAGCUAACGCAUUAAGUUCCCCGCCUGGGGAGUACGGCCGCAAGGCUAAAACUCAAAGGAAUUGACGGGGACCCGCACAAGCGGCGGAGCAUGCGGAUUAAUUCGAUGCAACGCGAAGAACCUUACCAAGGCUUGACAUAUACGAGAACGGGCCAGAAAUGGUCAACUCUUUGGACACUCGUAAACAGGUGGUGCAUGGUUGUCGUCAGCUCGUGUCGUGAGAUGUUGGGUUAAGUCCCGCAACGAGCGCAACCCUCGUUCUAUGUUGCCAGCACGUAAUGGUGGGAACUCAUGGGAUACUGCCGGGGUCAACUCGGAGGAAGGUGGGGAUGACGUCAAAUCAUCAUGCCCCUUAUGUCUUGGGCUUCACGCAUGCUACAAUGGCCGGUACAAAGGGCUGCAAUACCGCGAGGUGGAGCGAAUCCCAAAAAGCCGGUCCCAGUUCGGAUUGAGGUCUGCAACUCGACCUCAUGAAGUCGGAGUCGCUAGUAAUCGCAGAUCAGCAACGCUGCGGUGAAUACGUUCCCGGGUCUUGUACACACCGCCCGUCAAGUCAUGAAAGUCGGUAACACCUGAAGCCGGUGGCCUAACCCUUGUGGAGGGAGCCGUCGAAGGUGUAUCGGUAU
rnacentral:rRNA from 1 species